rnacentral:rRNA from 1 species
AUGGAAGAUGCAGGCAUGGAGUUCCUCCUCAUGCUGUUGACAGGUAAAAUAUUUUGGAUCCGAAAAAAAUUAGUACCGGUAGUAGAUUGCAUGCCGACUGGCUGUCAAAAUGGCCGCCAAUGCUCACACCCUAUUUUGAAAGGUUUCCCCUGCUUGAGGAAUUCACGGACAGCCAUGAGCAGCCGGAUCCGGUGCCUCUGGCUUUGCUGGCGAAUGGAGGAGCAGGAGCGGCGGUACAGGCGGAUUCUGAUGCUGGCUCUGAUUGUGGUUAGCAUAUCAGCGGCGACGGAAACGAUGCUGCGCGAGCUGGCGUUUGCCGACGACAGGAGAUGUCCCCCGCGAGGUCUGCGCUGUCUACUGACAGAGUAA